ACGACACGGACCUCCAGCCUCAGCUGGAGUCGUCCAUGAGCAGGGACCAUGGACGAGGCCAGGUCACGGCGUCUUCUAGCCCGAUGGCCUAGCCCGAGGAGGAGCACUUCGAGGGCGACCACGUCGAGGACGACGAUGAGGAGCUAGUUGUUGAGGCGGCGAGUUCGUCUAGCUCGAGCAAGCUCUACGCGCGGGGUAUCACGCGCCUCCCUGAUCGGCCGCCCGCGCGACACGCCCGAGCGUUGAUCACACCUUGCGGUGAUAGGAACUUUGUCAAGGUGGAUGCGACGGAGUCGCGCCAUAUCACUAGCAUACAGGGCCUCAUUAUUAAGAAGCACUACCCCGGCUUGGUCGAGCACAAGGGGAAAGUGGAGCCACCCUUUUCCUGGCCGCACUUCUCUAGCGUCGUGGCAAACGACACCACUCUUGCGCAGGUCAUCAAGGCCGAGUUCUGGGAGUGGUUCGUGUGCGAGGAGGGGAAAGAGGCCGAGGCGGCGAAAAUCCAGGACAAGGUCUGCAGAGAGCGGCUGAAGGACAUGUACUCCGAGGCGCAUAUCCAGUGCGUCAUCUCCUACCACCAUGGGUGCUUGGCCAGAAGGUGACAAAGAAACAGGCCAGAGAGAUGAUCAUGUGGCCCGACACUGAUAUCA